GGACAGGCUAUCUUGCUGUACGUCAUUAUCUUCCCGCACAAAAGAGCUUUACAACCCUAGGGCCUUCAUCACUCACGCGGCAUGGCUGGAUCAGGCUUGCGCCCAUUGUCCAAUAUUCCCCACUGCUGCCUCCCGUAGGAGUCCCCCCGUGCCCCCGCCCCGCCCGCCGCGCGCGGCGGGGGGGGCG
rnacentral:rRNA from 1 species